rnacentral:misc_RNA from 1 species
UCCGGUUUGUCACCGGCAGUCUCACUAGAGUGCCCUUUCGUAGCAACUAGUGACAAGGGUUGCGCUCGUUGCGGGACUUAACCCAACAUCUCACGACACGAGCUGACGACAGCCAUGCAGCACCUGUGUUCAGGCUCCCUUGCGGGCACGCUCUCAUUACAAGAGCUUCCUGACAUGUCAAGGGUAGGUAAGGUUUUUCGCGUUGCAUCGAAUUAAUCCACAUCAUCCACCGCUUGUGCGGGUCCCCGUCAAUUCCUUUGAGUUUUAGUCUUGCGACCGUACUUCCCAGGCGGUUAACUUCUCGCGUUGGCUGCGUUACUGAGAAUUUUACUUCCCAACAACUAGUUAACAUCGUUUAGGGCGUGGACUAC